rnacentral:rRNA from 1 species
GAUAGUGAACCAGUACCGUGAGGGAAAGGCGAAAAGAACCCCGGCGAGGGGAGUGAAAAAGAACCUGAAACCGUGUACGUACAAGCAGUGGGAGCCCCACCACUAAGCCAGUGGUGAACUCCACAUCCGCAUCCUUUGCUGAGGAUACGGUUAACGGAGCGAAAGCGACGUUCAACCGCAAAACAAGCAGAGGGGGCUUAGUGGUGGGGUGACUGCGUACCUUUUGUAUAAUGGGUCAGCGACUUAUAUUCUGUAGCAAGGUUAACCGAAUAGGGGAGCCGGAGG